AGGUAUCGAACUCAGGACCUUGUGCUUGCAAGGGAGGUGGCGGCACCACUGAGCUAAAUCCCUGGCCCCCUGUUAUGUAUAUCAGCCGCAUGGGAACCCACUGACAAAUCAGCCUGGCAGCCUCAGCAGCCCCUGUGAGGAUCAAGCACCAGCGGGCCUACAUGGACUGGGGUGGUCCUGCCCUCCAGGAACUCUGAGGAACAUCUCACACCAAUUGUGGGCAAGUUGGACACCAACUGAGCAGAACUUACCCAAAACAGCAUUGGACAGAAGUCAAACACAUUGGCAGCACACAGAAAAUUAGCAAAAAUUUGGAUUCCUCCACACAAGAGGGUUUCCAGCUCAUUGAACAAUUAGGAUCAUUUGGCAAAGUUGAGCCUACAUCUGUGUAGAGCGGCAGCAAUUGGCCGCCUUCUGCUUUCUUUAGGUAUCAACCUGGCUGCUGUGGUUGUCUGCCCCCAAAAAGCCUACCUUGAAGUUCAGAGCUAACUCAGAGCCUGCAUAUCCUGGUGCAAGGAACAGGAAGAGAAGGAAGAAGGCAGGGAGAAAGGGCAUAGAUUAGAAAUCUCCCAGGCCUAGCAGAUCGAGCAUUCCCCAGAGCCCAGCCCAUGUUCUGGAAAGCUGGAUUUGAACGUGAGGACACAAGGAAAGGACAGGUCUGUGAACCAGGAAGCAGCUUGCACCAGGCUCUGGACCAGCUGAUGCCUUGAUCUUGGGCUUCUCAAUCUCUGAAAAUCAAUGUUUCUGUGACCUUCUCCACCUGAGAAAGUACCUCAUUCUCUCUCAUUGUUGCUCCAGCAGGCGGAGGCUGAAGAGCUUAUUUGACUGCUACCCUACUGCUAUGUAGACUGU
rnacentral:lncRNA from 1 species